rnacentral:rRNA from 1 species
AUGAACGCUGGCGGCGUGCCUAAUACAUGCAAGUCGAACGAGUUCUGAUUAUUGAAAGGUGCUUGCAUCUUGAUUUAAUUUUGAACGAGUGGCGGACGGGUGAGUAACACGUGGGUAACCUGCCCUUAAGUGGGGGAUAACAUUUGGAAACAGAUGCUAAUACCGCAUAAAUCCAAAAACCGCAUGGUUCUUGGCUGAAAGAUGGCGUAAGCUAUCGCUUUUGGAUGGACCCGCGGCGUAUUAGCUAGUUGGUGAGGUAACGGCUCACCAAGGCAAUGAUACGUAGCCGAACUGAGAGGUUGAUCGGCCACAUUGGGACUGAGACACGGCCCAAACUCCUACGGGAGGCAGCAGUAGGGAAUCUUCCACAAUGGACGCAAGUCUGAUGGAGCAACGCCGCGUGAGUGAAGAAGGCUUUCGGGUCGUAAAACUCUGUUGUUGGAGAAGAAUGGUCGGCAGAGUAACUGUUGUCGGCGUGACGGUAUCCAACCAGAAAGCCACGGCUAACUACGUGCCAGCAGCCGCGGUAAUACGUAGGUGGCAAGCGUUAUCCGGAUUUAUUGGGCGUAAAGCGAGCGCAGGCGGUUUUUUAAGUCUGAUGUGAAAGCCCUCGGCUUAACCGAGGAAGUGCAUCGGAAACUGGGAAACUUGAGUGCAGAAGAGGACAGUGGAACUCCAUGUGUAGCGGUGAAAUGCGUAGAUAUAUGGAAGAACACCAGUGGCGAAGGCGGCUGUCUGGUCUGUAACUGACGCUGAGGCUCGAAAGCAUGGGUAGCGAACAGGAUUAGAUACCCUGGUAGUCCAUGCCGUAAACGAUGAAUGCUAGGUGUUGGAGGGUUUCCGCCCUUCAGUGCCGCAGCUAACGCAUUAAGCAUUCCGCCUGGGGAGUACGACCGCAAGGUUGAAACUCAAAGGAAUUGACGGGGGCCCGCACAAGCGGUGGAGCAUGUGGUUUAAUUCGAAGCAACGCGAAGAACCUUACCAGGUCUUGACAUCUUUUGAUCACCUGAGAGAUCAGGUUUCCCCUUCGGGGGCAAAAUGACAGGUGGUGCAUGGUUGUCGUCAGCUCGUGUCGUGAGAUGUUGGGUUAAGUCCCGCAACGAGCGCAACCCUUAUGACUAGUUGCCAGCAUUUAGUUGGGCACUCUAGUAAGACUGCCGGUGACAAACCGGAGGAAGGUGGGGAUGACGUCAAAUCAUCAUGCCCCUUAUGACCUGGGCUACACACGUGCUACAAUGGAUGGUACAACGAGUUGCGAGACCGCGAGGUCAAGCUAAUCUCUUAAAGCCAUUCUCAGUUCGGACUGUAGGCUGCAACUCGCCUACACGAAGUCGGAAUCGCUAGUAAUCGCGGAUCAGCACGCCGCGGUGAAUACGUUCCCGGGCCUUGUACACACCGCCCGUCACACCAUGAGAGUUUGUAACACCCGAAGCCGGUGGCGUAACCCUUUUAGGGAGCGAGCCGUCUAAGGUGGGACAAAUGAUUAGGGUGAAG